GAUGAACGCUGGCGGCGUGCCUAAUACAUGCAAGUCGAGCGAACGGACGAGAAGCUUGCUUCUCUGAUGUUAGCGGCGGACGGGUGAGUAACACGUGGAUAACCUACCUAUAAGACUGGGAUAACUUCGGGAAACCGGAGCUAAUACCGGAUAAUAUUUUGAACCGCAUGGUUCAAAAGUGAAAGACGGUCUUGCUGUCACUUAUAGAUGGAUCCGCGCUGCAUUCGCUAGUUGGUAAGGUAACGGCUUACCAAGGCAACGAUGCAUAGCCGACCUGAGGGGGUGGUCGGCUACACUGGAACUGAGACACGGUCCAGACUCCUACGGGAGGCAGCAGUAGGGAAUCUUCCGCAAUGGGCGAAAGCCUGACGGAGCAACGCCGCGUGAGUGAUGAAGGUCUUCGGAUCGUAGAACUCUGUUAUUAGGGAAGAACAAAUGUGUAAGUAACUGUGCACAUCUUGACGGUACCUAAUCAAAAAGCCACGGCUAACUACGUG
rnacentral:rRNA from 1 species